GCCACAUUGGGACUGAGACACGGCCCAAACUCCUACGGGAGGCAGCAGUAAGGAAUUUUUGGCAAUGGAGGAAACUCUGACCGAGCGACGCCGCGUGAACAAUGAAGUACUUCGGUAUGUAAAGUUCUUUUAUUGAAAAAGAAAAAAUAGUGGAAAAACUAUCUUGACAUUAUUCAAUGAAUAAGCCCCGGCUAAUUAUGUGCCAGCAGCCGCGGUAAUACAUAAGGGGCGAGCGUUAUCCGGAAUUAUUGGGCGUAAAGGGUGCGUAGGCGGUUUGAUAAGUCUAUAGUUUAAAUGCAGUGCUUAACGCUGUAGCGCUAUAGAAACUGUCUGACUAGAGUUAGAUAGAGGCAAGCGGAAUUCCAUGUGUAGCGGUAAAAUGCGUAAAUAUAUGGAGGAACACCAGAGGCGUAGGCGGCUUGCUGGGUCUUAACUGACGCUGAGGCACGAAAGCGUGGGGAGCAAACAGGAUUAGAUACCCUGGUAGUCCACGCCGUAAACGAUGAGUACUAAGUGUCGGGUUUCGACUCGGUACUGAAGUUAACACAUUAAGUACUCCGCCUGAGUAGUACGUACGCAAGUAUGAAACUUAAAGGAAUUGACGGGACCCCGCACAAGCGGUGGAUCAUGUUGUUUAAUUCGAAGAUACACGAAAAACCUUACCAGGUCUUGACAUAAUUUUGCGACAUUAUAGAAAUAUAAUGAAGGUUAUCAGAAUUACAGGUGGUGCAUGGUUGUCGUCAGCUCGUGUCGUGAGAUGUUAGGUUAAGUCCUAAAACGAGCGCAACCCUUGUCGUUAGUUGCGACCACGUAAUGGUGAGCACUUUAGCGAGACUGCCAAUGAAAAAUUGGAGGAAGGUGAGGAUUACGUCAAAUCAUCAUGCCCCUUAUGAUCUGGGCUACAAA
rnacentral:rRNA from 1 species